rnacentral:rRNA from 1 species
AACUCAUCUUCGGGGGUAGAGCACUGUUUCGGCUAGGGGGUCAUCCCGACUUACCAACCCGAUGCAAACUACGAAUACCGAAGAAUGUUAUCACGGGAGACACACGGCGGGUGCUAACGUCCGUCGUGAAGAGGGAAACAACCCAGACCGCCAGCUAAGGUCCCAAAGUCAUGGUUAAGUGGGAAACGAUGUGGGAAGGCACAGACAGCCAGGAUGUUGGCUUAGAAGCAGCCAUCAUUUAAAGAAAGCGUAAUAGCUCACUGGUCGAGUCGGCCUGCGCGGAAGAUGUAACGGGGCUAAACCAUGCACCGAAGCUGCGGCAGCGACACUAUGUGUUGUUGGGUAGGGGAGCGUUCUGUAAGCCUGCGAAGGUGUGCUGUGAGGCAUGCUGGAGGUAUCAGAAGUGCGAAUGCUGACAUAAGUAACGAUAAAGCGGGUGAAAAGCCCGCUCGCCGGAAGACCAAGGGUUCCUGUCCAACGUUAAUCGGGGCAGGGUGAGUCGACCCCUAAGGCGAGGCCGAAAGGCGUAGUCGAUGGGAAACAGGUUAAUAUUCCUGUACUUGGUGUUACUGCGAAGGGGGGACGGAGAAGGCUAUGUUAGCCGGGCGACGGUUGUC